rnacentral:lncRNA from 1 species
GAAUUACAUUAAAAGACUAGAAACCAUCUCUUUGCUUUUCUGACAGGAGCACAGUUCUCUGGUGUUCAGAGCUGGCACAAAACAGCUACAACGAAUGUCUCUUCAUAGACGCCUCCAGAGUGCACAGUUCCCCAUGAUAUUUAAAGUGGAUGACAAAUCACACUCUCGAAUAGUGCGGUGGGGGACGCCAUGGCCAUGCAAGAGUCAGGUCUUCAUUUUAUAUCCCAAAGCUCCGCCAAGUCAUUGAGAUCUCAGAUUCCCUUCAAGCAUCAGCGAAGCUGAUAGGAAAGGAACCCUACCCCACCUUAUCUCCUGCCUUUCGAAAGCCCAAGUCCUGUGCAAGCUACUCUGGAACUCAGAACAAGGUGACUUGCUUGUGAACACUAAAAAAAGUGAAAUUUACAAGUGGCAAGAUCAUGGAGAAGUACAGGAAUAUACCACCGACAGCUGAAGCGGGGUGCAGCCCAAAUUGCUUGGGAGGAGAAGGCAGCCAUGGCCUGCAACUCUGCAGGGUCCCACAGGGACCAGCAGCACCAACACAGCAGGCAGCAAGAGGAGGGUUUAGUGCAGAAGGAAUGGGGCAAAUCACCUGCCGGAAGGACACCAGGAUAGACACGCCCAGAUGCAGAGAGCUGGAUGCAGAACCCAACAGAAGUCAGGAAAGGAGAAG